rnacentral:rRNA from 1 species
UACGUAGGGUGCGAGCGUUAAUCGGAAUUACUGGGCGUAAAGUGUGCGCAGGCGGCAGAGCAAGUCGAGUGUGAAAGCCCCGGGCUUAACUUGGGAAUUGCGCUCGAAACUACUUUGCUGGAGUGUGGCAGAGGAAGGUGGAAUUCCACGUGUAGCAGUGAAAUGCGUAGAGAUGUGGAGGAACACCGAUGGCGAAGGCAGCCCCCUGGGUCAACACUGACGCUGAUGCGCGAAAGCCAGGGGAGCGAACGGG